rnacentral:rRNA from 1 species
AGAGUUUGAUCCCGGCUCAGAAUCAACGCUGGCGGCGCGCUUAACACAUGCAAGUCGAACGAGAAAGUGGAGCAAUCCAUGAGUAAAGUGGCGUACGGGUGAGUAACACGUGGAUAAUCUGCCCUUUAGUGGGGAAUACCGUUGGGAAACCGACGACAAUACCGCAUAAUCCCGAGAGGGGAAAGCAGCAAUGCGCUGAAGGAGGAGUCCGCGGUCGAUUAGCUAGUUGGCGGGGUAAAAGCCCACCAAGGCUGUGAUCGAUAGCCGGCCUGAGAGGGCACACGGCCACACUGGCACUGAAACACGGGCCAGACUCCUACGGGAGGCAGCAGUGGGGAAUCUUGCACAAUGGGGGAAACCCUGAUGCAGCGACGCCGCGUGAGCGAUGAAGCCCUUCGGGGUGUAAAGCUCUUUCGGCAGGGACGAUAAUGACGGUACCUGCAGAAGCAGCUGCGGCUAACUACGUGCCAGCAGCCGCGGUAAUACGUAGGCAGCAAGCGUUGUUCGGAGUUACUGGGCGUAGAGGGUGCGUAGGCGGUCCUGUAAGUAUGGUGUGAAAUCUCCCGGCUUAACUGGGAGAGUGCGCUAUAGACUGCGGGACUAGAGUGUGGGAGAGGAAAGUGGAAUUCCUGGUGUAGCGGUGAAAUGCGUAGAUAUCAGGAGGAACACCGGCGGUGUAAUCGGCUUUCUGGACCAUAACUGACGCUGAGGCACGAAAGCGUGGGUAGCAAACAGGAUUAGAUACCCUGGUAGUCCACGCCCUAAACGAUGCAUAUUUGGUGUGGGCCAUUCAGUUGGUCCGUGCCGGAGCUAACGCGUUAAAUAUGCCGCCUGGGGAGUACAGUCGCAAGGCUGAAACUCAAAGGAAUUGACGGGGGCCCGCACAAGCGGUGGAGCAUGUGGUUUAAUUCGACGCAACGCGAAGAACCUUACCUGGGCUCGAAAUGCUGUGGACCAGCUUAUGAAAGUAGGCCUUCCCGCAAGGGACCGCAGUAUAGGUGCUGCAUGGCUGUCGUCAGCUCGUGUCGUGAGAUGUUGGGUUAAGUCCCGCAACGAGCGCAACCCUUGUCCUGUGUUGCCAUACCGAAAGGUGGAACUCGCAGGAGACCGCCAGGGAUAACCUGGAGGAAGGUGGGGAUGACGUCAUCCUCAUGGCCUUUAUGUCCAGGGCUACACACGUGCUACAAUGGACGGUACAAAGGGCUGCCAACCCGCGAGGGGGAGCCAAUCCC